CCUCAAGACCACUGUAAGGUGUGUGCUGAGAGACGUGUGAUUCGGUAAGGGUGAAAAGGUGCGGUAAGAGCGCACCGCGCGACUGGUAACAGUUCGUGGCAGUGUAAACCCCACUCGGAGCAAGGCCAAAUAGGAAUCCACAGAUGCUGCUCGCAUUGGGUUCGGGUAGGCCGCUAAAGGCUUGCGGUGACGUAAGCCAUAGAUGAAUGAUUGUCCUCGACAGAACCCGGCUUAUAGGCUGGCUCACUUU
rnacentral:RNase_P_RNA from 1 species